CUAUAGGUCUAUUGUGUGAUAUGUAUUUAUCCGUCGCAAUUCUGUUCUUGCUGCAGCCACUCAGCCUCUGUCUGAGUUAAUCUAGAUUGAUGAUCUCAGCCAAUCAAAAAACAUUUUGAGGCUAGUGCAGGAAAUCACCAUGCUGUGCCAAUCAAAUGCUCUCUGACAAACGUUGCUCCAGCCAAAGGUGGCCAAUGGGACCAAGGUAAGUGGGAAACUGAUUAACAUUUGUGCAGUGUUUCAGAAUAGUGCACCUGGUACAUGGGAAAUCCAGUAUCACAAAAUGUACUACAUGUAAUCACGUAUGUGUCAUUGUGCACUAGUGGCUGAAAGCUGACCCGUGCAUUUCACUGUUUGAUACUGACUGAAUGAGUGUUCUACUGUCAGAGGGUUGGGCUGUGCAUGUGCUACUUGUUGAGUGAGCAACAAAGCUGCUAGUGUGUGAGUUGUAGAAACUAAACCUAUGGAUGUUAACAUGUGCUAGAGAUUAAAUAGCUCCCCAUGUUGGCAUCGGUAGGGGAGUGGCAUAUGGUUGAAGAGUAUUCUUGCCAGUAACACACUGAUCGCAGAUGUUGCAAGAUACCUACCACUAAGAUUUCCAUUCCUUAUUAUUGAUGGAAUCCUUUCCAAGUACCUACAACUGUCACCCUGGAUUUGCC